UGGAGAGAACCUUCUCAGCUAAGUGCAGGGGUCAUUUAUCCUGACACCCGAAGCACUCUCCGGGAGACACAAGAGUCAGACGAUGGAAUGAGAAAGAAAUACUAUGACCACUAAUGUCUGGUGUUUAUUGACAACUUACUAUACAUCAGACACUGUUCUGCGUGCUACACAUACAACCCCAGUGAAUGCUUCCAGAACUCUAUGAAGAGACCAAGGACACAGAGAAGAAUUACAGAGGUCAGAAGAAGAUGAACCGGAUCGUGUUUAACAUCCAUCGUCUGUCCUGACAAGGGUCCAGUCUCACCAGAAAGGAGCGGGCAGCCUCCAGGUACACAGCCCUUCGCCGGCACUCUUCUCUCAGCCCCCAGC